rnacentral:rRNA from 1 species
CAGCCGCCGCGGGAAUACGAAGGGUGCAAGCGUUAAUCGGAAUUACUGGGCGUAAAGGGAGCGUAGGCGGACAUUUAAGUCAGGGGUGAAAUCCCGGGGCUCAACCUCGGAAUUGCCUUUGAUACUGGGUGUCUUGAGUAUGAGAGAGGUAUGUGGAACUCCGAGUGUAGAGGUGAAAUUCGUAGAUAUUCGGAAGAACACCAGUGGCGAAGGCGACAUACUGGCCCAUUACUGACGCUGAGGCUCGAAAGCGUGGGGAGCAAACAGGAUUAGAUACCCCGGUAGUCCUGCUCUUAUACAC